GACGAACGCUGGCGGCGUGCUUAACACAUGCAAGUCGAACGGAAAGGCCCUGCUUUUGUGGGGUGCUCGAGUGGCGAACGGGUGAGUAACACGUGAGUAACCUGCCCUUGACUUUGGGAUAACUUCAGGAAACUGGGGCUAAUACCGGAUAGGAGCUCCUGCUGCAUGGUGGGGGUUGGAAAGUUUCGGCGGUUGGGGAUGGACUCGCGGCUUAUCAGCUUGUUGGUGGGGUAGUGGCUUACCAAGGCUUUGACGGGUAGCCGGCCUGAGAGGGUGACCGGCCACAUUGGGACUGGGAUACGGCCCAGGCCCCGACGGGAGGCAGCAGGGGGGGAAAUUGCACAAUGGGCGGAAGCCUGAAGCAGCAACGCCGGGGGCGGGAAGACGGCCUUCGGGUUGUAAACCGCUUUCGCCUGGGACGAAGCGUGAGUGACGGGAAUGGGUAAAGAAGCACCGGCUAACUACGGG
rnacentral:rRNA from 1 species